CCAGACUCCUACGGGAGGCAGCAGUGGGGGAUAUUGCACAAUGGGGGGAACCCUGAUGCAGCGACGCCGCGUGGGUGAAGAAGUAUUUCGGUAUGUAAAGCCCUAUCGGCAGGGAAGAAUUUAGACGGUACCUGACUAAGAAGCCCCGGCUAACUACGUGCCAGCAGCCGCGGGAAUACGUAGGGGGCAAGCGUUAUCCGGAUUCACUGGGUGUAAAGAGAGCGUAGACGGCCAUGCAAGCCUGGAGGGAAAGCCCGGGGGCCAACCCCGGGAGUGCUCGGGGAAAUGUGCGGCUGGAGUGCGGGAGGGGCAGGCGGAAUUCCGGGUGGAGCGGUGAAAUGCGUAGAUAUCAG
rnacentral:rRNA from 1 species